rnacentral:rRNA from 1 species
AUUGAACGCUGGCGGCAGGCUUAACACAUGCAAGUCGAGCGGGGUGAUGGUGCUUGCACUAUCACUUAGCGGCGGACGGGUGAGUAAUGCUUAGGAAUCUGCCUAUUAGUGGGGGACAACAUCUCGAAAGGGAUGCUAAUACCGCAUACGUCCUACGGGAGAAAGCAGGGGAUCACUUGUGACCUUGCGCUAAUAGAUGAGCAUAAGUCGGAUUGGCUAGUUGGUGGGGUAAAGGCCUACCAAGGCGACGAUCUGUAGCGGGUCUGAGAGGAUGACCCGCCACCCUGGGACUGAGACACGGCCCAGACUCCUACGGGAGGCAGCAGUGGGGAAUAUUGGACAAUGGGGGGAACCCUGAUCCAGCCGUGCCGCGUGUGUGAAGAAGGCCUUAUGGUUGUAAAGCACUUUAAGCGAGGAGGAGGCUCUUUUGGUUAAUACCCAAGAUGAGUGGACGUUACUCGCAGAAUAAGCACCGGCUAACUCUGUGCCAGCCGCCGCCGUAA